UACGGAGGGUGCAAGCGUUGUCCGGAUUUAUUGGGUUUAAAGGGUGCGUAGGUGGUCUUGUAAGUCCGUGGUGAAAGCCUGCUGCUCAACAGCAGAACUGCCAUGGAUACUGGAAGGCUUGAGUACAGACGAGGUAGGCGGAAUUGAAGAUGUAGCGGUGAAAUGCUUAGAUAUCUUCAAGAACACCGAUUGCGUAGGCAGCUUACUAGGCUGUAACUGACGCUGAGGCACGAAAGCGUGGGGAUCAAACAGG
rnacentral:rRNA from 1 species